rnacentral:misc_RNA from 1 species
GAUGAAGAACGUAGUGAAAUGCGAUAAGUAAUGUGAAUUGCAGAAUUCAGUGAAUCAUCGAAUCUUUGAACGCAUCUUGCGCUCCUUGGUAUUCCGAGGAGCAUGCCUGUUUGAGUGUCAUUUUAACUUCUCAACCAUAUCGAAUUGUUUUUCGAGGUGGCUUGGACAUGGGGGUUUUUGCAGGCUUUAAUAAUGAAGUCGGCUCCUCUGAAAUGCAUUAGUGGUAUCUGAAGCAGAACUGCUACUAUUAGGUGUGAUAAUUAUCUAUGCCUCUUGGUAUACUGCAUGAACAGAUUGCGCUGCUUCCAACUUGUACACCCUUUGGUGUUUGACAAAUUUGACCUCAAAUCAGGUAGGACUACCCGCUGAACUUAAGCAUAUCAAUAAGCGGAGGA